rnacentral:tRNA from 2 species
GGGCGGAUAGCUCAGUUGGUUAGAGCACUGCGUUGACAUCGCAGAGGUCGCAGGUUCGAGCCCUGUUCCGCCCA